rnacentral:lncRNA from 1 species
GGGCUCCCCACGACCGGGGGGACGGAGGAAAGGAGGAAGGAAGGAAAGAGAGCCGCCGCCAUUAGCAAAGCAGCCCUGCCCGGCUGGGCCCGCCUGCCAGACCAGCCCGGCCCAGCCGCGACGGGCUCGAAGCCUGUAAAGAAAACUGGUGUUUGGGAGGAGGAGCGAGCGCGGCCGGGAGGACAGGAGCGCCGGGCUGCGGGCGGAGAUGCUGCGUCAUGGUGCCAACAUGGACGCCGGCCUUUUGUCCUCCUUCGCGUUGCCAGCGCAGGCGCGCCCCGGAGCCCCGAGAAGCCGGCUUCGGGGUUCAGACCUGGGAAGAGCGAGGGGGCGAAGGCAGGCGGCUCCAUGGACCCCCGAGGGUCGCUGCGAAGCCCGUCUUCUCGCCCUUGGGGCAGAAGAGGCACAGGGGUCCGAAGAGCCCUUCGUGUCCCAACCCCCCGCCCACUGCCCGCUCCGGCUGCCAAAUACAAUGCUCCAGAAUCCUCCUUCUCCUCUCAGCUCCCAAACACUUGCAGCCCUUGCUUGGCCUGCAAAAGGGUUUCCUCGAAGGGGCAAAAGGCACUUUUUAUCUUUCUUACUUACCCGCUCAGCCCGGUGCCAUGGAGUCUAGAAGAUCAAGCUGGGCGGUGGUUUUGGAGACGUUAUUGUAAAAACAUAUAUAUUUUUUGAUUUAGUUGGGAAAUUUGGGGGUUAUGGUGGUGUCUUUGUUCUUGUUACCUUUUUGUAAGUUACACCCUCACGUUCUGCUCCUUCCACUUCUGCAAACUUUCCAGGGUUGGGUAGGCAAAAAGGCGGCUUCGCUGAGGACUGUUUACUGCUCUGGAUAUAGCAAUGGUGUGAUCGUCAUUAAGAGACAAAAGGGAAAAUACAGUCAAAUCAAACAAAAGGCAAAAGACGCACCAGCCGCCCAACCACCAUAGAAAAUACCCCCCACUUAACGUUGGUGUUUGCUGGAACCAGCUAGGACUUGUUUUCCAGUUUUAAUCUAGUUUCCUGUGACGGCUUUAGUCUCUCUACACAAAGAAAAGGUCUUCCUUUCCCUCACCCACCAGCUCCCCCCAACCCCCAACACCAAAGACGAGAAAAACAGGGCUGUUUUUCUUCAAAUAGAUCGAUUUUCAAAGAAAGUGUACAAGCUACGGGGAAGAAAGCUGACUAGCAUUUAGUGCUGUAAACAUUUUCAAAAGCAUAAAGCUAGAACCUUAGCUUUAUAAAGCAAGAUCGUCUCAAGCAUCUUAACUGGCUUAUAUUAGACAAGAGAGACAAAGACAUACAUGCAGAUGAAGGUUCGGAAAAUUAAGGACAUCUCAGCAACAUUAACAUCAAAACUGUACUGCGUCAGGACAGAAUGGAUUGGGUACUUACAAUGUAAAAGGUUUUUUAAAAACUGAAAGAGUAACAACUGCUCACAAUUUUUUGUUGCUGCCAUUUCGCUAGUCCUAAAGCUAUAUACAUUUAAAACGUUACCUUGUUAAAAAGAGAGAAGGAGUUAAUAAGAUGGCCAGGUUUAAGUGUUUAAUAGAGGAAACUAGAUAUAUUUAAAAAUUUAUUGUUCAGUCAAGAGAAUACAGAUCAAGACAGCUCCAAGCUCCCCCCACCCACCCAUAGAACAAAAAGAGGAAAAAAAAUAUGUCAUUUACUUAGGUUUUUUUGUAAUUCAAAACUGUUAACUGCUGACAUGAAUGGUGUGCUAUGACCUAGUUAUACAAGACAAAGAUGGAUUCCAAGUCAUAAGGAAAAAUCCAGAUCUUUUUAAAAAGUCUUCUCCAGUCUUCCAACUGUGAGUCCUUGGGCCUGUUGACAAAUGUUAAACACACUGAGACGUCCUGAACUGGAUGGUAGAGUCAAAGGAAAAACAUUCCCCAUUUGCAACAAAGGAAAAACCCACUUGGCCAUUUAAUUCCAUUGCAGAAAAAUGGCUUCCCUCAUCUGUUGGCCUCUCCUUCGUGUCUGAUGAAGGAUGUUUUGAGAUCAGCGUCUAAUAACUCAAGCCCUAUAGAAGCCGCGCGCUGAUUGGCUGCCG